rnacentral:rRNA from 1 species
GACGAACGCUGGCGGCGUGCUUAACACAUGCAAGUCGAACGGAAAGGCCCUGCUUUUGUGGGGUGCUCGAGUGGCGAACGGGUGAGUAACACGUGAGUAACCUGCCCUUGACUUUGGGAUAACUUCAGGAAACUGGGGCUAAUACCGGAUAGGAGCUCCUGCUGCAUGGUGGGGGUUGGAAAGUUUCGGCGGUUGGGGAUGGACUCGCGGCUUAUCAGCUUGUUGGUGGGGUAGUGGCUUACCAAGGCUUUGACGGGUAGCCGGCCUGAGAGGGUGACCGGCCACAUUGGGACUGAGAUACGGCCCAGACUCCUACGGGAGGCAGCAGUGGGGAAUAUUGCACAAUGGGCGGAAGCCUGAUGCAGCAACGCCGCGUGCGGGAUGACGGCCUUCGGGUUGUAAACCGCUUUUGCCUGUGACGAAGCGUGAGUGACGGUAAUGGGUAAAGAAGCACCGGCUAACUACGUGCCAGCAGCCGCGGUGAUACGUAGGGUGCGAGCGUUGUCCGGAUUUAUUGGGCGUAAAGGGCUCGUAGGUGGUUGAUCGCGUCGGAAGUGUAAUCUUGGGGCUUAACCCUGAGCGUGCUUUCGAUACGGGUUGACUUGAGGAAGGUAGGGGAGAAUGGAAUUCCUGGUGGAGCGGUGGAAUGCGCAGAUAUCAGGAGGAACACCAGUGGCGAAGGCGGUUCUCUGGGCCUUUCCUGACGCUGAGGAGCGAAAGCGUGGGGAGCGAACAGGCUUAGAUACCCUGGUAGUCCACGCUGUAAACGGUGGGUACUAGGUGUGGGGUCCAUUCCACGGGUUCCGUGCCGUAGCUAACGCUUUAAGUACCCCGCCUGGGGAGUACGGCCGCAAGGCUAAAACUCAAAGGAAUUGACGGGGCCCCGCACAAGCGGCGGAGCAUGCGGAUUAAUUCGAUGCAACGCGUAGAACCUUACCUGGGUUUGACAUGGAUCGGGAGUGCUCAGAGAUGGGUGUGCCUCUUUUGGGGUCGGUUCACAGGUGGUGCAUGGCUGUCGUCAGCUCGUGUCGUGAGAUGUUGGGUUAAGUCCCGCAACGAGCGCAACCCUUGUUCACUGUUGCCAGCACGUUAUGGUGGGGACUCAGUGGAGACCGCCGGGGUCAACUCGGAGGAAGGUGGGGAUGACGUCAAGUCAUCAUGCCCCUUAUGUCCAGGGCUUCACGCAUGCUACAAUGGCUGGUACAGAGAGUGGCGAGCCUGUGAGGGUGAGCGAAUCUCGGAAAGCAGGUCUCAGUUCGGAUUGGGGUCUGCAACUCGACCUCAUGAAGUCGGAGUCGCUAGUAAUCGCAGAUCAGCAACGCUGCGGUGAAUACGUUCCCGGG